GACGAACGCUGGCGGCGUGCUUAACACAUGCAAGUCGAACGGAAAGGCCUGCUUUCCCUUGUGGAUUGCGGGUACUCGAGUGGCGAACGGGUGAGUAACACGUGAGUGAUCUGCCCCCAACUUGGGUAUAAGCCUGGGAAGCUGGGUCUAAUUCCCGAUAGGACUGCAGGGUGGUGCCUGUGGUGGAAAACGAUUUUCUAGUGGUUGGGGAUGAGCUCGCGGCCUAUCAGCUUGUUGGUGGGGUAAUGGCCUACCAAGGCGGCGACGGGUAGCCGGCCUGGGAGGGUGGACCGCCCCCUUGCGACUGGGAUACCGCCCCGACUCCUACGGGAGGCCGGAGUUGGGAAUAAUGGACCAAGGGCGGAAGCCUGAUGCAGCGACGCCGCGUGGGGGAUGACGGCCUUCGGGUUGUAAACUCCUUUCGACCGCGAGGAAGCCACCUGGUUGGAAGGGUGGUGACGGUAGUGGUAGAAGAAGCACCGGCUAACUACGUG
rnacentral:rRNA from 1 species